GUACAAAAUUGAAGGGGUCCAUUGAUGACGACAUGAAUGCUCAAGAUUUCCCCAGUUCGUCCUUUAGAGGGACAUUUGAAUAACAUUAUCCACAAUUCAGAACCAGCCCAAAUGUUAUCUGGUGUAGAAGUUGGUUGGUGUUAUGCUCUUCCAACUUAACUACUCCCUCAAUAUUAAUUGAGGUGAGGGGAGGUUGUUUUAGUCAUUCCAAUCUUAAAGCUAAUUCUGCUCCUUUCUUCUAUAUAAAUAUAGUAAAGAAUGCAUUUCCCUCUGGCUGUGAUAAUCCUCAAAAGAGAAAUUUGGGUGAAAGCAAAAACACUCGUAUUCCUUUCUCGAUUUCUGCCUUUUAUCUGCUGUAAGUGAUAUCAGGGAAAGAAAAUGGAUGCACCACCACAAUACCAGGAUAUGUCAUACUACGAUCAUGUCCAAAGGCGCCGCGAGGAGAAAGGCUGCCUGUAUGCUUGUCUGUUUGCACUGUGUUGCUGCUUCUGCUGCGUUGAGACCUGCGAGUGCUGUUUGGAUUGCAUCUGCUGUUGCUGUAAUUAGAUCAUACACAACUGAAAAAAUGGGCAGGCUGAAUAAAAAAAAAUGGGUCUCCAAUUUGAUGA